AACGAACGCUGGCGGCAUGCCUAACACAUGCAAGUCGAACGAGACCUUCGGGUCUAGUGGCGCACGGGUGCGUAACGCGUGGGAACCUGCCUUUAGGUUCGGAAUAACUCAGGGAAGUUUGAGCUAAUACCGGAUGAUGUCUUCGGACCAAAGAUUUAUCGCCUUUAGAUGGGCCCGCGUUGGAUUAGCUGGUUGGUGGGGUAAAGGCCUACCAAGGGGACGAUGCAUAGCUGGUCUGAGAGGAGGAUCAGCCACACUGGGACUGCGACACGGACCAGACUGCUACGGGAGGCAGCAGUGUGGAAUACUGGACGAUGGGCGAAAGCCUGAUACAGCAACGCGGCGUGAGUGAUGAAGGCGUUAGGGUUGUAAAGCUCUUUUACCCGAGAUGAUAAUGACAGUAUCGGGAGAAUAAGCACCGGCUAACUCCGUG
rnacentral:rRNA from 1 species